rnacentral:snRNA from 1 species
GGCUUCAGCAAGACAUACACUAAAAUUGGAAUGAUGCAGAGAAGAUUAGCAUGGCCCCUGUUCAGAGGAAUCAACUGAAUAUAUUUCU